AUUAGUCAAUGCUCGCAAGAGUGAACUAGCUAACUGAAAUCAAAGGUGUGUCACUUUUGAUAAGGUAAAGGAAAAUAAAUGAUAUUACUUUACUAUUAGUGUCGUCCAAGUACUCGUGCCAGAAGACUCGGUAAGGCGAGAGACGCAAACGUUAGUCGUCCUGAUCAGGCGUAAAGGGUUUGUAGGCGGCUUUAAGUAUGGAUUCCUUCUAAAUAACAUUACUUUAUUUUUAGGGUAACGACUCCUCCCUUUGGGGUGUGGAGCAGAAGGGAAAAAUCAAUUAAAGCUAGAAUCAAAUAGAGGUCAAAUUAAAUAAUACUUGGUGUAAGAUUGGUAUCUUUAAAAACCAAGCGGAAUACUAACGGCGAAGGCUUUUUUCCAUUAAUGAUUGACGCUGAGAAACUAAGGUGAGGACAGAAAAAAGGAUUAGAGACCCUCGUAUUCCUCACUGUCAACGAUGAAUGGUAGUUACUAGAUGUCAUGAUAUAGUACUUAAAUAAAUAGGAAUAUAUCUAAAAAAUCUAGAGACGAUGUUAACACGAAAACCAUUCCGCCUUGUGAGUACGACUGCAAAGUUGAAAACAAAAAAAUUAGUCGGUUUCGGAGCAAACGAAGUGAAGCAUGUUAUU
rnacentral:rRNA from 1 species